rnacentral:lncRNA from 1 species
UAAUCAUAAAAAUUUUUCUAAAUAAGACGAAUGGUGAAACAUUGGACACGAAAAAACGAAAAAUAAUUUUAUUUCAGGAUGGAAGUAUUAUAUAAUAGUGUCUGUAUAUAUGGUGUUCAGUGGGUGCACGGCGCGGACACGAACGUGUGCAUGCUAACUGGUUGGUUUUGUACCGGUGGAUACAUGUCCGAUCCACUUAGUAUAAGCAGGAAAUAAUAAGGCCCCAGAUUGGUCUGGCGAAAUUACUGGAUAUGCCGUUAUUUUGGCCAGGGAAAUUCC